rnacentral:lncRNA from 1 species
CUGGAAUUUUGGAUUUGGGAAUGCUGGGGGCACCAUCAGCGAGACAACUGGGGAUUUUGGAAUGCCACAGGGGCUGGCAGCGGGACGGGUGGGAAUGCCGGGAUUGGGAAUGCCGGGAGUGCCAGGGGGCUGGCAGUGGGAUGGCUGGGAAUUCUGGGAUUUGGGAUCUGGGAAUGCUGGGGGCACCAUCAAUGAGACAGGUGGGGUUUUGGGAUUUGGGAAUGCUGGGAAUGCCACAGUGGCUGGCAGCUGGACGGGUGGGAAUGCCAAAGGGGCUGGCAGCAGGAUGGCUGGGAAUGCCGGGAUCUGGGAUUUGGGAUCUGGGAAUGCUGGGGGCACCAUCAGCGAGACAGGUAGGGAUUUGGGAUGGUAUUCCCAUGGACCUGGGAUUUGGGAAUUCCGGGGAAUCCAUGCCCUGACAGGUGGGAUUCUCACGGAUCCAGAAUUCGGGGAUUCCGGGGGUAGCUGUUACCUGACAGGUGGGAUUCCCAUGGAUUUGGGGAUUCCGGGGGAUCCGUGCCCUGACGGGUGGGAUCCCCAUGGAUUUGGGAAUUCCAGGGGAUCGGUGCCCUGACGGGUGGGAUCCCCAUGGAUUUGGGGAUUCCGGGGGAUCCGUGCCCUGCUGGGUGGGAUCCCCAUGGAUUUGGGGAUUCCGGGGGAUCCCUGCCCUGCUGGGUGGGAUCCCCAUGGAUUUGGGAAUUCCGGGGUUCCCCUGCAGGCGGGUUGUUCUUCUGGGGCGCCACCAACACGUCCCGGGAGUCCACCAUGUACCCCAAGGCGGUGCAGGACCUGUGCGGGUGGAGGAUCCGCAGCCUGGCCUGCGGGAAGAGCUCCGUCAUCGUGGCGGCCGACGAGAGCACCAUCAGCUGGGGGCCCUCGCCCACCUUCGGGGAGCUGGUACGCCCCGAAAACCCCAAAGGAAACCCCAGAAACUCCAAAGGAAACCCCAGAAACUCCAAAGGAACCCCAAAAACCCCAAAGGAAUACCAAAAACCCAAAGGAAACCCCAGAAACCCCAAAGGAAUCCCAGAAACCCCAAAGGAACCCUAAAAACCUCAAAGGAACCCCAA